rnacentral:sRNA from 1 species
GGAAGGCUGGGGAGGGCAGUCUUGCCGUGGCAUCCACCCUCUUGCUGAUGGUCAAUGGUGACUGGACCAACUGCACAGGUGGGUACCCCUUCCUUCCUCAGCACAGGGUCCAUGUCCCUCUCUUGAUGCAGGGCCACCUUUUUAGAUAGAUGAGCCACUCCUAGGUCGAGGACUUCUGGGCCUGUGCAUUCCUUUGCUGGAACUCCCGUGAAAGCAAAAACAAUCCCCACUUUUCAAAAUUAAUAUACAGACUGCCAUU